rnacentral:lncRNA from 1 species
CAAUGACUAUAUAAGUACAACAUUACUUCCGUUAUUUAAUGAACCACUUCAGUAUCAUUUAAGUUACUGAUAAUCAUUAUCCUGUUAUAUAGCCAUCAUGUAUGAUAUACUGAAAACAUUAGGGACAGAUUUGGAUCCCAAAAGUCCGAUAUUGUUUAUGAUUGUCAUGUACAUGUUAUUUAUUGUCGGAUUAAAUUUUGUUCGCACUUCCCACUCAGGUGAGUUCAACCUUUAAUAUAUCUUUUUAGAAGUGUUUUCAUUUUAUUAUAUUAAUAUGACAAUAUCGAUGGAAUAUUUGUUCGAAAUUCAGAAGUUUUAUAAACUGCACCUCUUUUGAUUUUAGUGAAAUAAUCACAACACUUUCGGAUGGGAGUGGUAUGUAUUCGACGAGAUUCCGUUUCAUUUUCCAGUAGUCAAUACUAUCAGUUAAUGCUCCUUAAAGUGACUAUCCUAAUUAUACCAGCACUGCCGGCUUUGUACUUUUAUUUUUGGAUCUUUAAGUUUUCUCUUCUUUCUGCAAUACAAAUUGUUUGACUUUAAAACUAAAAAAAAAUACUACUGCGCCCUUUUAGAAAUUAUUUUGCCUUGGUAUUAGACAUUUUAAAAGAUUGAUGAAGGAUAAAACAACAAUGUAUGGGAUUCGCUGUGUCUAUUCUUCCUUGGGCGUCGUUGUUUGGAAAUAAGCAUAUGCAUAUAUCGAUUCAUCACAACAAUUCUAGUAUUGUGAAUGUUUUAUAUAAACAACAUUGAGUAUGUACUCUGAAUUUCCACCUGACCAUUGUGGGUAUGAGAAUGAAUUGGGUUGUUGAUGAAAAAAUAGUAUAAUUCCCACACAACUGGCACAUAGAAAAUCCAGGUAUUUGUCUUGUCUUGUAACUGCUCUCACUAGUAAAUUAUUGCUACUUUUAUAAAAUUUAAAUCCAUGUUCGACAAGUUCAAAAAUGAGAGCUUAUCCUCUUUUUUGUAGGAGUUAUGCAUCUUUGAAAUAUAUAUUAUUUGUAAAAAUGCAUUUAUCAUUAUAAUUAUGAAAAAGUUUUAAAAACAUUGUGGAGUUAUUGCCCUUGUGAAGUUUAAUAUGAAAUUUUAUAUCAGUUUUCCAUUCAUGAAAACAAAUGUGUAAAUUUGUGUAGUGGACAAUGUCAGAAGUUAGCAUUUCAAAGAAUAAUAUACCAUUAUACAAUUCAGCAAAAUUAUUCUAACCAUACUAUUUGAUUUGAUAGCUUUUAAUUUGCAUGAUAGGUAUCAUAACUUUAUUGCAUAUUUUCAAAACUCAGAAAUCGAUGUAAGAUACUAAAAUUCGGAGAAUAUAUUCACCCAAAAAAAUACAACAAUUCAUUGUUCUUAAUUUUUGGUCGAUCUUUUAAUAUUUCUGAACGAUGACACGUAUUCGACGGGUUCUGUUCGAUAUAAAUUGACACAGAGAAUAAUGACCUAUAAUUCGGAUUAUAUUGUAAAUGUCCGCUGCAUAUAUUUACAAAAGUGUAUCAACUUAGCGAAAAUUAGCUUUACAAUAGGAAAGUGAUUAUAAAUAAAAGGCAAUGUUUAUAAAAAUUUGAAUAUAGAUAGUUGAGUUCAUAAAUGAUCAAGAUGGGUUAUAUUGUUAUACUGGGAUAUUUCCUUGCUAUUGUUGCGUUCUUGUUGUUAGAAAUAGUUGGAUGCAUAUUAAGACCAUUUAUCAGAGUGUUUAAUCUGUGUAAGUAGUUCUGUGUUAAUUACAUAGAUAAGCAGUACUUUUGUUGUAUAUUUUGCACUGUGUUAAUUACAUAGAUAAACAGUACUUUUGUUGUAUAUUUUGCACUCACUAUCUUAUGCUCAUGUACAGCUUUGGAUUAAAUUACAGCAAAAGACAAUGCUUUAAUUUCGUUGGUAUGUUAUAAUUCCAUUUUAAAAGAAUCAAAACACAAGGGUAUAGGUGACAAAUGUCUAUAACAUCUCUAUUUUUGUUGCUGUCUACUUGGCAAAAGAUAUCAGAGAACAAGCUAGCAAAAUACGUAUGCUUAAUCUAAGUAGAUUCUGAUUUUAUUUUGCAUAGAGAACCAGAAAUUCAAAAUACGGCUAGGUAAUUUAUGCCUGGGAUAAGAUAAUCCUUAGUAUUUUGAAUAAUUUAUACUUUUGCAAACUUGAUCAUAUAAUUGAUAUUCAUAGCAAAACACGUAUGCUUUAUCUAACAAGAUUCUGAUUUUUGUUUACAGUGAUUCCAAUAGUAACCAAGAAUGAUGUUAAUAAUGAUAAUUUUGAGGAACUUAGAUAAUCUCAAAUCAUAGUGCCAUCCAGGAUAAGAUUUUUGGAGAUGAUAGACCUAAAAUGCCAGACUGAAAGACCGCCAUUUCGUAGUGGAACAUAGAGCUGGUAAUGACGCCCGUAAUGACAUAUCUAUUUUGAUUGAAGAACAACAUCAAGGGUUGAAUACACGAUUAUGUUUUCACUUGUAUGAAGCAAUUUCUAAAGAACCAAAAUUAUUAUAAAAAAAAUGGCGACGAACGAGUCAAGCACGACGAAAGAAAAGAAGAUACAUAACUCUAUCAAAAUAUUUGUCAUAUUUUCUAUUAUUAUGUAGAAUAAUUAAUGGAAGAUAAUUAGAAUAAAUGCAUAUUUUUAUGGAAUGUGUUUGUCUAAUCAUAUAUCUGAUAAAUUUUUAAACAUUAAUGACACAGCAG